UGUAUCAGGACAGGCGUACUGGAUGGAAGACACUACAUACAGUAUGACUGAUCAUCGGUGAUGUACGCAGGAGAUCAUACAUCCUCCGAGAAUCGCCUAAAUCCGGAUAUUCUUUAAAGAUCGUCCAUGCUGUGAACCAGCUGUGAGCGAAGAAAGAAGAACCAGAGCAGCGGGGGUACCAGAUAGUUGAGAUUAGUGUCUGUUGCCCUUGAGCAACUACUUUUAGAGAACUAUGCGUACCCUUCAACACCCUUUCUUGCCCAAAGCCUCCACAGUGCUUGGGGUUAUUGUCUCUAUAGGCAGCGCAUUCUAGAGCUUUACAGCCCUUACUGUGAAGAAGCAGAAAAGCACGAAGAACAAGAGGUCCUCUGACACCGGAGGAGCGAAGGUUUCACACACAACAAAGGAAGAGAUUCUUCACAGUGAGGGCAAUAAAGAGCUCUAUAAGGACACCACGUGGCGUAUAAAAUAUUAAUACGUACAAUUGCCCCCGGUUGUGCAGUUAUCCACUUGAGCGAGUUGUUCCAGCUGUAACUCAACAUUGUUGA